AACCAAGGAAUUAAGUUAUAUUUAGUAUGGUAAAAAGACAGUUAGGUAGAAAUUAAAAUUGUUUAGGUUAUUUAAUUAUUCUAUAUAGAGGUAAAAUUUAAGUAUAGUAUUAUAAUUUAUUAAUAACUUUUAAACUGAAUCUGUGAAAUCCUUGAGGGAAACUAGGAUUAGGUACCCUAUUAUUCUUGGUUGUAAAUUGAUUUUUGUCUACCAGAGUACUAUGAAUAUUUUUAAAUUUAAAACUCAAAGAACUUGGCGGUGUUUUAGACCAUUCAGGGGAACCUGUCUCGUAAUCGAUGAUCCACGUUAUACCUGACCUUUUUUUGUUUUCAGCUUGUAUACCGUUGUCGUCAGGUAACUUUUUAGAAAUUGGAAGUUAGCUAUAAGAAAAUAUAAACUAAAACGUCAAAUCAAGGUGCAGCCUAUAAAAAGGAGAGGAUGGGUUACAAUUAUAUAUUUAUAAUUACGAAAAAUUGUGAGAAUGUAUAAUAUUGAAGGAGGACUUGAAAGUAAAUUAAAUUAUAUAAAUAAUUUGAAUAAGGCUCUGAAACGUGU
rnacentral:rRNA from 1 species